rnacentral:rRNA from 1 species
UACGUAGGGGGCAAGCGUUGUCCGGAAUCAUUGGGCGUAAAGAGCGUGUAGGCGGUUCAGUAAGUCUGCUGUGAAAGUCCAGGGCUCAACCCUGGGAUGCCGGUGGAUACUGCUGGACUAGAGUGCGGAAGAGGCGAGUGGAAUUCCCGGUGUAGCGGUGAAAUGCGCAGAUAUCGGGAGGAACACCAAUUGCGAAGGCAGCUCGCUGGGACGUGACUGACGCUGAGGCACGAAAGCGUGGGUAGCAAACAGG